rnacentral:lncRNA from 1 species
AAUACAGAUACAAUAUAUCCAAAUCUCUGAGACACUAUGAAGGCAGUAGUAAGAGCAAAGUUCAUUGCAUGGAGUUUAUUCCUAAAAAGAAGAAAAAGUUAACAAAUGAAUGACUUAAUAUUCAUCUCAAAGCCCUAGUAAAACAAGAAGAAAUCAACACCAAAAGCAGUAUAAGACAGAGCUGAAAUCAAUGAAGUUGAAACAAAAGAAACAACUGAAAAAAAUUGACAAAACAAAAAGUUGGUUCUUUGAAAAAAAAAUAAAAUUGACAGACUCUUAGCCAUGCUAAUGAAGAGAAAGAGAGAGAAAACUCAAAUUACUGACAUAUGAAAUGAAAAAGGAAAUAUCACAACAGACACUACAAAAAUACAAAAGAUACUUAGAAAUUAUUUUGAAAACUUAUAUUACAAUAAAUAGAAAAUAUCAAAGGCAUCAACAAAUUUCUAGAGGCAUAUGAUUUGCCCAAAUUGAAUCAGGAUGUUAUACACAAUUUAAAAAGAUCAAUUACAAGUGAUGAGAUGGAAGAUGCCAUCAGAAGCCUACCAACCAAGAAAAGCCCAGGACUGAAUGGAUAUACAGCUCAGUUCUACAAGACCUUUAAAGAAGAACCAAUACCAAUACUCUUCAAUUUAUUUCAGGAAAUAGAAAAAGAGGGAGCACUUCCAAACUCAUUCUAUGAGGCCAAUAUCACCCUGAUUCCAAAACCAGGAAAAGACACAUCAAAG